ensembl:snoRNA
AAUGCCCCUUGAGGCGUUGCAGCCCAACUGUCGUGUUGCAGCUGUGUCACAAGGCGGCAGAGAGAGACGGUGGUGGUCUGCACUGAGACUCAGAAACACACGGAGGACUCGGAGUGAUUCCCUCCACCGACAGU